CAUGGCCUCCAUGUAGCAGUCUUCACUUAAAUUUAGUGCAGGGUGUACAUGUGGCUGUAACUAGUAGGCUGGAAUUCUAUGAUCAGUUUCUAUAAAUUGACUGUUGGAAACUGAUUGUUGAAAAACUGCCUUGGUGAAUUAAACUGUGUCAUAUGGGAAACAAUGUAGCCAUAUGGUGGUCAGAACUAAGGACUUAAUUACAACUGCUUU